GACGAACGCUGGCGGCGUGCUUAACACAUGCAAGUCGAACGGAAAGGCCCUGCUUUUGUGGGGUGCUCGAGUGGCGAACGGGUGAGUAACACGUGAGUAACCUGCCCUUGACUUUGGGAUAACUUCAGGAAACUGAGGCUAAUACCGGAUAGGAGCUCCUGCUGCAUGGUGGGGGUUGGAAAGUUUCGGCGGUUGGGGACGGACUCGCGGCUUAUCAGCUUGUUGGUGGGGUAGUGGCUUACCAAGGUUUUGACGGGUAGCCGGCCUGAGAGGGUGACCGGCCACAUUGGGACUGAGAUACGGCCCAGACUCCUACGGGAGGCAGCAGUGGGGAAUAUUGCACAAUGGGCGGAAGCCUGAUGCAGCAACGCCGCGUGCGGGAUGACGGCCUUCGGGUUGUAAACCGCUUUCGCCUGUGACGAAGCGUGAGUGACGGUAAUGGGAAAAGAAGCACCGGCUAACUACGUG
rnacentral:rRNA from 1 species